UACGUAGGGUGCAAGCGUUAAUCGGAAUUACUGGGCGUAAAGCGUGCGCAGGCGGUUAUGUAAGACAGGGGUGAAAUCCCCGGGCUUAACCUGGGAACUGCAUUUGUGACUGCAUAGCUAGAGUACGGUAGAGGGGGAUGGAAUUCCGCGUGUAGCAGUGAAAUGCGUAGAUAUGCGGAGGAACACCGAUGGCGAAGGCAAUCCCCUGGACCUGUGCUGACGCUCAUGCACGAAAGCGUGGGGAGCAAACAGG
rnacentral:rRNA from 1 species